GACGAACGCUGGCGGCGUGCCUAAUACAUGCAAGUCGAACGAACUCUGGUAUUGAUUGGUGCUUGCAUCAUGAUUUACAUUUGAGUGAGUGGCGAACUGGUGAGUAACACGUGGGAAACCUGCCCAGAAGCGGGGGAUAACACCUGGAAACAGAUGCUAAUACCGCAUAACAACUUGGACCGCAUGGUCCGAGUUUGAAAGAUGGCUUCGGCUAUCACUUUUGGAUGGUCCCGCGGCGUAUUAGCUAGAUGGUGGGGUAACGGCUCACCAUGGCAAUGAUACGUAGCCGACCUGAGAGGGUAAUCGGCCACAUUGGGACUGAGACACGGCCCAAACUCCUACGGGAGGCAGCAGUAGGGAAUCUUCCACAAUGGACGAAAGUCUGAUGGAGCAACGCCGCGUGAGUGAAGAAGGGUUUCGGCUCGUAAAACUCUGUUGUUAAAGAAGAACAUAUAUGAGAGUAACUGUUCAGGUAUUGACGGUAUUUAACCAGAAAGCCACGGCUAACUACGUGCCAGCAGCCGCGGUAAUACGUAGGUGGCAAGCGUUGUCCGGAUUUAUUGGGCGUAAAGCGAGCGCAGGCGGUUUUUUAAGUCUGAUGUGAAAGCCUUCGGCUCAACCGAAGAAGUGCAUCGGAAACUGGGAAACUUGAGUGCAGAAGAGGACAGUGGAACUCCAUGUGUAGCGGUGAAAUGCGUAGAUAUAUGGAAGAACACCAGUGGCGAAGGCGGCUGUCUGGUCUGUAACUGACGCUGAGGCUCGAAAGUAUGGGUAGCAAACAGGAUUAGAUACCCUGGUAGUCCAUACCGUAAACGAUGAAUGCUAAGUGUUGGAGGGUUUCCGCCCUUCAGUGCUGCAGCUAACGCAUUAAGCAUUCCGCCUGGGGAGUACGGCCGCAAGGCUGAAACUCAAAGGAAUUGACGGGGGCCCGCACAAGCGGUGGAGCAUGUGGUUUAAUUCGAAGCUACGCGAAGAACCUUACCAGGUCUUGACAUACUAUGCAAAUCUAAGAGAUUAGACGUUCCCUUCGGGGACAUGGAUACAGGUGGUGCAUGGUUGUCGUCAGCUCGUGUCGUGAGAUGUUGGGUUAAGUCCCGCAACGAGCGCAACCCUUAUUAUCAGUUGCCAGCAUUAAGUUGGGCACUCUGGUGAGACUGCCGGUGACAAACCGGAGGAAGGUGGGGAUGACGUCAAAUCAUCAUGCCCCUUAUGACCUGGGCUACACACGUGCUACAAUGGAUGGUACAACGAGUUGCGAACUCGCGAGAGUAAGCUAAUCUCUUAAAGCCAUUCUCAGUUCGGAUUGUAGGCUGCAACUCGCCUACAUGAAGUCGGAAUCGCUAGUAAUCGCGGAUCAGCAUGCCGCGGUGAAUACGUUCCCGGGCCUUGUACACACCGCCCGUCACACCAUGAGAGUUUGUAACACCCAAAGUCGGUGGGGUAACCUUUUAGGAACCAGCCGCCUAAGGUGGGACAGAUGAUUAGGGUG
rnacentral:rRNA from 1 species